rnacentral:rRNA from 1 species
GAUGUCGACUUGGAGGUUGUUCCCUUGAGGAGUGGCUUCCGGAGCUAACGCGUUAAGUCGACCGCCUGGGGAGUACGGCCGCAAGGUUAAAACUCAAAUGAAUUGACGGGGGCCCGCACAAGCGGUGGAGCAUGUGGUUUAAUUCGAUGCAACGCGAAGAACCUUACCUACUCUUGACAUCCANGGAAUUUAGCAGAGAUGCUUUGGUGCCUUCGGGAACGGUGAGACAGGUGCUGCAUGGCUGUCGUCAGCUCGUGUUGUGAAAUGUUGGGUUAAGUCCCGCAACGAGCGCAACCCUUAUCCUUUGUUGCCAGCGAUUCGGUCGGGAACUCAAAGGAGACUGCCGGUGAUAAACCGGAGGAAGGUGGGGAUGACGUCAAGUCAUCAUGGCCCUUACGAGUAGGGCUACACACGUGCUACAAUGGCGCAUACAAAGAGAAGCGACCUCGCGAGAGCAAGCGGACCUCACAAAGUGCGUCGUAGUCCGGAUCGGAGUCUGCAACUCGACUCCGUGAAGUCGGAAUCGCUAGUAAUCGUGGAUCAGAAUGCCACGGUGAAUACGUUCCCGGGCCUUGUACACACCGCCCGUCACACCAUGGGAG